UAAGGAAUAUUGGACAAUGGGCGCAAGCCUGAUCCAGCCAUGCCGCGUGCAGGACGACGGCCCUACGGGUUGUAAACUGCUUUUGUAAGGGAAUAAACCCCCGGACGUGUCCGGGGUUGAAGGUACCUUACGAAUAAGCAUCGGCUAACUCCGUGCCAGCAGCCGCGGUAAUACGGAGGAUGCAAGCGUUAUCCGGAUUUAUUGGGUUUAAAGGGUGCGUAGGCGGCCUGUUAAGUCAGGGGUGAAAUGUUGCGGCUUAACCGCAGAAUUGCCUUUGAUACUGGCAGGCUUGAAUAAAGUUGAGGUAGGCGGAAUGUGGCAAGUAGCGGUGAAAUGCAUAGAGAUGCCACAGAACACCGAUUGCGAAGGCAGCUUACUAAGCUUUGAUUGACGCUGAGGCACGAAAGCGUGGGGAUCAAACAGG
rnacentral:rRNA from 1 species